rnacentral:rRNA from 1 species
AGCACGUUAUGGUGGGCGACUCUAAGGAGACUGCCGGUGCAAACCGGAGGAAGUGGGGAUGACGUCAAGUCAUCAUGGCCCUUACGGCCUGGGCUACACACGUGCUACAAUGGUCGGUACAAAGGGUUGCCAAGCCGCGAGGUGGAGCUAAUCCCAUAAAACCGAUCGUAGUCCGGAUCGCAGUCUGCAACUCGACUGCGUGAAGUCGGAAUCGCUAGUAAUCGUGAAUCAGAAUGUCACGGUGAAUACGUUCCCGGGCCUU